UACGGAGGGAGCUAGCGUUGUUCGGAAUUACUGGGCGUAAAGCGCGCGUAGGCGGCUUUGCAAGUUAGAGGUGAAAGCCCGGAGCUCAACUCCGGAACUGCCUUUAAAACUGCAUAGCUUGAAUCCGGGAGAGGUGAGCGGAAUUCCGAGUGUAGAGGUGAAAUUCGUAGAUAUUCGGAAGAACACCAGUGGCGAAGGCGGCUCACUGGACCGGUAUUGACGCUGAGGUGCGAAAGCGUGGGGAGCAAACAGG
rnacentral:rRNA from 1 species